GCUGGGCAUGGUGGCGCAUGCCUGUAGUCCUAGCUACUUGGGAAGCUGAGGCGGGAGGAUCACUUGAGCCCAGGAGGUCAAGACUGCAGCGAGCUGGGAUUGCGCCGCUGCGCUCCAGCCUGGGCGACAGAGCAAGACCCUGUCUCCA
rnacentral:SRP_RNA from 1 species